rnacentral:rRNA from 1 species
UACGUAGGGCGCAAGCGUUGUCCGGAAUUAUUGGGCGUAAAGAGCUCGUAGGCGGUCUGUUACGUCCGCUGUGAAAGCCCGGGGCUUAACCCCGGGUCGGCAGUGGAUACGGGCAGGCUAGAGGUAGGUAGGGGAGAAUGGAAUUCCCGGUGUAGCGGUGAAAUGCGCAGAUAUCGGGAGGAACACCGGUGGCGAAGGCGGUUCUCUGGGCCUUACCUGACGCUGAGGAGCGAAAGCGUGGGGAGCGAACAGG